rfam:Crassostrea gigas strain 05x7-T-G4-1.051#20 contig30118, whole genome shotgun sequence.
GAGCGUGUGUCCUGGUGACACCUCUGAACAUUGAUCGCUGGAAAUUCGGCUGAUCUGUCCAGUUUCGUGUCCCUUAUAUGCACACAUUCUGACACUUGGAGUUCCCGCUGUCUCGUCGCACGGUUGAGCUCCUUUCUAAAUUGGUCCUUUGCAGGGCCUUGGGUAUAAAAGUACGACCUGGCUUCUGAAAUUUGUAAAAUUAGGGAAGUUGGGGGAACUCAGCCUUGUUUCUGACGCUCUAGUACGGCCCUGCCAAGUGGGUAGGCUGCCAUUGUUU